GGCGAGAUGGCCGAGCGGUCUAAGGCGCCAGACUAAGGACCAGGACGCUUACGUCCUGAUAUCUGGUCCGAAAGGGCGUGGGUUCGAAUCCCACUCUCGUCA